AUUUGAGAAUGCAUGGGAGUAGCCUAAAACUCUUUUUGAUUCUUGCCACAAUAUUUAGAUCACCAUUAGAUUGUGGCCAUCUUUCUAUUUGGAAUCUGUUGAAUCUGGUGGUAAUGUGGUUGUCUUUUGUAGUGUGUCUACAGGACAGUGUUCUUGUCUUCUGGAAACAUGGUCUGAAAGGAAGGAGUUUACAAACUAAUGAGGUUACCCAGGAGAUCACUGACAGAAGUCGAGUUUUUCAGGUUUUGGGAACAACUAGGGAUAUUAUCUUGCAAAGUACUCCUACGGAUGAUCCGUCUGCCAUGAGCAACCUGUACAUCCUCACGGGGCAUGAAAGCAGCUACUGAUGGGACUGAGGCACUGCGAAUGUUGAGCAAGAGCUGGAAACACUACAAAGGUUGAUAGUCCUCCCUUCCCUCCUGAGAGGGUAGAGUCAUCAGGCCCAAAAAGCUCCAGGAACAGAGGAAAACAUGAUGAAGUCACGUACACAGGUCUCCAGAGCCUCUGAGGACAGGAGGCAGAAUUGGAGCUGAUGUGGAGGCACAAGGAUCAACCAUGAGAGAAAGUGACCUGUGGACCUAUGUUUUGAAAUAGGGUAACCAUACGUGCCAUUUUCCCAGGACGCGUCCUUGCCAGGAUUAGUUUUUUCCUGUUUUCA